rnacentral:rRNA from 1 species
UACGUAGGGCGCAAGCGUUGUCCGGAAUUAUUGGGCGUAAAGAGCUCGUAGGCGGCCUGUUGCGUCCGCUGUGAAAUCCCGGGGCUCAACCCCGGGCCUGCAGUGGAUACGGGCUGGCUAGAGGCAGGCAGGGGAGAACGGAAUUCCUGGUGUAGCGGUGAAAUGCGCAGAUAUCAGGAGGAACACCAGUGGCGAAGGCGGUGGUCUGGGCCGGAACUGACGCUGAGGAGCGAAAGCGUGGGUAGCAAACAGG